rnacentral:rRNA from 1 species
GACAGCAGUAGCCGCGGUAAUACGUAGGGUGCAAGCGUUGUCCGGAAUUAUUGGGCGUAAAGAGCUCGUAGGCGGUUAGUCACGUCGGCUGUGAAAACCUGGGGCUCAACUCCGGGCCUGCAGCCGAUACGGGUUAACUAGAAUUCGGCAGGGGAGACUGGAAUUCCUGGUGUAGCGGUGAAAUGCGCAGAUAUCAGGAGGAACACCGGUGGCGAAGGCGGGUCUCUGGGCCGAUAUUGACGCUGAGGAGCGAAAGCGUGGGGAGCAAACAGGAUUAGAUACCCGGGUAGUCCCUGUCUCUUAUAC